AGCAUUCAGCGGAGGAGGCAGUGUUAAAGUUUACACUGUGUUAAGGCUGAAGCGAUUGCAAGGCUCAGAGCGGAACAGACCAGUCUCCUAAGACAUCGGGAAGGAUGCUGUACAAACAGCUACAUAUGUUGCAGAGGAGGAGUGGAGCAGGGAAAGGUCCCCAUCCUGCUGAAGGAGCGAGGUCUUGGUGCAAUGGGAGAACAGAUCUCCUGCACAGGAGCUGGUGUCCUGCUGCACAGGCUGCUGCAGCUGUUGUGAAAUAACCUGCCUAGGAAGACUCCCUGUCCUGGGACCCCCAACCCACCCCUGCGUGGAGAGUGGAUGCAGGUUGAGACCUUAUGGGCACCCUUGGCUGAGUGCCAAGAAGAAGGAUGGGAGAUGAUCAGAAGGUGCUCUCUAAUUGGGAGAUGUCCUUAUAUCUGUGAGUAAACUCACUUUCCUUCUUGGGUCAGAAUGUGACUUAUGUUCCGGGAUGUGUCUCAGGGCACUGUCAGAUCUGUGGUUUAAUACUGUGCUCUUAGAAUACAUAUGUUGUCUUCAGAGUUUGUCUGUAAUCAGAAUAUUGCUGGUUUUAUUGCUUGAUUUGAAGUUACUAAAAAGCUAGUCGCUCUAGGAGAUAAGAAAGUUAGAAAGAAAAGACUUGAAUGGGCAAUCCAGGGAAAAUAAUCAGCAAUGACAGAGCUCCAGGAAACAGGAACUCCUCUGGGAAAAUGCCUUUUCAAUCACAUGCAUCUUUUCUCAGGCAGAGAUUCAGUUCUGCCUGCUGCAAAAAUACCAACCUGCUUGUUCCUUCCUUAAUGCAUGCAGGUAUUAGGGGGUGCUGCUUGGUUUUCAGAGGCAAACAAAUUCAGAGUUUGCCACAGUGAGGAUCUGCUCUGAGUGAAGAAAAAGCUGAGCAGA